CUUCCUCCAACAUGGGAGAGAAGCAGCUCGCUCUCAGGUCACUCCAAAGUCCUCACCAUGAGGCAUCCAUGUGCUGUUCAUCAUUUGUGGCUUGAUGUUACUUCUUUUUUUAUUCUGAAAAAUACUUCUCAAGAUCUACACUCUACAUAAAUUUCAGAUUGCCAUUUUUGGGCAUAAAAUCAGCAUUUUCGGUGCAUGAGACAACCUCUAAAAAGGUUGUCCAUCAACCAUCAAACAGUGAUUUCUACUUUCCUCUUUCAUAAAAUCACUUAGUUACUAGCAUAUUCACAUCAACAAUUCCAGAAAUGAAAUGGGGGUUAUUUGUACUCCAUGACUGCACUAUGGAAGGAUCUUUUAGGGUCUAGUUCCACUGCUUUGGAGUUAACCUCUGCAGGCCAGUAGGAGCCUCGCCAAUGAAAUGGAAAUUUGCUGUUGUCAGAGGAGGAUUAAACAUAAAUGCUAUUGCUAAAUGAAGACUGUAGAGGAACAUAAAGAAUUAAAAAUAUAAAAAUAAGGAUGAGAAGGUAUUAGUAUCACAAAAAUAUAUGAAAUUUUAUAAAAUGUAUUUUACAUCUUGUGUGUUGUAUGUAAAACAACAAUUCUUAGAGCAUCUUUUGAAGUUUUAUCUGAAUUAAUUAUUAAAGCUAAGAGAGUCAACAGGUCGACCUGGGGUAUUUGAAGAUCGUUUCUUGGCAGGGAUGGGGUCUGGGAAGGCGCUGGAGGACCUGAAGGAAGGGAGGGCAAGAGGCAGCUUCCCAGGCCCGCACACAAAGGCAGCAAAGAAGCGCAGCCUUAGACUUUUAGGGCCAAGUUGCUCUUUUGAUGGAAGCAGGGAAUGUCAUGAAUCCCCCGAUGUCACACCAUCUCUGAGAAAGGAGUCUAAAAGACAGCCUCAUGUGCAGGAGUGGUUUCCAGAAUGUGAAUUGUACGAGUGCGAUACUUACAGGUUAGAUGUUUG
rnacentral:lncRNA from 1 species